GAUGAACGCUAGCGGCAGGCUUAACACAUGCAAGUCGAAGGGUAUAGGUUUUCGGACCUAGAGACCGGCGCACGGGUGCGUAACGCGUAUGCAAUCUACCUUUCACAGAGGGAUAGCCCAGAGAAAUUUGGAUUAAUACCUCAUAGUAUAGCAGUUUCGCAUGAAACCACUAUUAAAGUAUCAACGGUGAAAGAUGAGCAUGCGUCCCAUUAGCUAGAUGGUAAGGUAACGGCUUACCAUGGCUACGAUGGGUAGGGGUCCUGAGAGGGAGAUCCCCCACACUGGUACUGAGACACGGACCAGACUCCUACGGGAGGCAGCAGUGAGGAAUAUUGGUCAAUGGACGCAAGUCUGAACCAGCCAUGCCGCGUGCAGGAUGACGGUCCUAUGGAUUGUAAACUGCUUUUGUACGGGAAGAAACAACAUUACGUGUAAUGUCUUGACGGUAUCGUAAGAAUAAGGAUCGGCUAACUCCGUGCCAGCCGCCGCCGUAUAC
rnacentral:rRNA from 1 species